AAGUCAAGUUAAAUGUUAUUUAACUUGAAAAUAUGGUGUCUGACACAAUUUGAGCUUGCUAUAGCAAGAAAGUCUAACCUAUUCCGGUGUUCUCUCUUUGUGGGAUAAGCCAUUAUAUAGACUUUAACAGU